UUUAAGUGUGAAAAUGCAAACCACCGUUGCAUCUGUAGCUAGACUUGAGACUUUAACCUUUUAUCUUUGUGCGUUUGGGUCCUCAUUCUGUGUCACCUGAUGUUACAAAAUCACUGCAUUCAUCUGCUUCAUAUUUUCUCUCCUCAGUUUCCCAGCAUGCCACAGCAGUGGAGGUGUACGAGGGGGCUGAGUCUGCGCUGCUGCCCUGUCAGCUACUAGCUGCUCCCAGUGAGUUCACAGCAGCAGUGUGGGAUCGCAACGACCUCAACAAUCCCAACAGUCCAUGUUCGUGUGAAGAGUGGUGAUGAUUUGGAUGACCAAAACCAGCGUUACACCAACCGAACAUCAAUGAGUGCUGAUGCUCUGCAAACUGGAAACCUCAGCCUCACUCUGAGAAACCCGACAGUCUCUGACAGUGGAACCUACACCUGCAUCCUCCGCAUCACUGGACGAGAUGUGAGCUGGACUUACUUACAACUGAAGGUCACAGAACCUCCUCCUCCACCUCCUCCAGUCUGGCCCAAAGUUCUCUCAGCUGUCUUGGUUCCUGUGGUUGUCCUGGCUAUUUGCUGUGGUAUCGGCAUGUUUUGUGGAUAUAAAAGGCUGCAAAAUAAAGAGGUUCUAGAGGUGGAGGUGGACACAGGCGUGACGUCUGCCAAGCUGCCCUGCAAAGCCACAGUUCAGCUGUCUCAAAUAAAUAAGGUUGUGUG
ensembl:lncRNA